rnacentral:tRNA from 1 species
GCCUGGCUGGCUCAGUCAGUGGAGCAUGAGACUCUUGAUCUCAGGGUUGUGAGUUCAAGCCCCACCUUGGGUG